rnacentral:rRNA from 1 species
GCUGGCGGCGUGGCUAAGGCAUGCAAGUCGUACGGGGCCUUCUUGGUAGUAAUACUGUGAAGGUUUAGUGGCGAACGGGUGAGUAAUGCAUGGGUAACGUGCCCUGCGCACAGGGAUAGCGGCGCCCCUUUGGGGCUUUAGCGAAAGUGCCGGUAAUACCUGAUGAUGUUCAGAGGUCUCAUGAUCUCUGGAUCAAACGAUGGGGACCCUUCGGGGCCUAUCGGCGCGGGAUCGGCCCAUGUCCUAUCAGCUUGUUGGUGGGGUAAUGGCCUACCAAGGCUAUGACGGGUAGUCGGCGUGAGAGCGCGACCGACCACAUCGGGACUGAGACACUGCCCGGACACCUACGGGUGGCUGCAGCAACGAAUAUUCCGCAAUGGACGCAAGUCUGACGGAGCGACGCCGCGUGAAGGAUGAAGUCCCUCGGGAUGUAAACUUCAAUAGUUUGUCAGGAAGUGAACCGGUCGAAUAGGCCGGGGAGUUGACCAGCGAACGAAAGG